rnacentral:rRNA from 1 species
GCAAGUCGAACGCGCAGCCGAAUUCUUCGGAAAUCGGUGGGCGAGUGGCGAACGGGUGAGUAACACGUGGGUGACCUGCCCCGAAGUGGGGGAUAAUCCUUCGAAAGGGGGACUAAUCCCGCAUAUGUUCUACAGGGUUAGAGGCCUGUAGAGUAAAGUUCCGGCGCUUCGGGAGGGGCCUGCGGCCGAUUAGCUAGUUGGUGGGGUAAUGGCUCACCAAGGCGACGAUCGGUAGCUGGUCUGAGAGGACGAUC